GGAUUAAAUACUAUAGCCCAGUGGGGACCACUCAACCCUAGGGAGACCAUUCAACUCUAACCGACUAAUAUGAUCCCGACCCUAUAAUUUUUCAUCCUGACCCUACUAUGCUUCUGGAAGCACGGAGCCUUCCGUGCUUCCAGGUCGUUUUCCAUGUUGCGACUUUUGAAUCGUCGAUCAGCUCCGUUGAACUUGAUCUAGAGUAUUUGAAGUAUCUAGAAAAUAAAUUUUGUAAUUUUUCAAUAUCAUUUGUCUAGUAAACUAAGGGGCUCAAAAUCAACGGCUGAAAAUAAAAAUCUUACAAAACGUGAUAAUAUGACAUUAAAAUUUU
rnacentral:lncRNA from 1 species